GGCCCGACCAACUGAGGAGACCACCCAGACAAGACGCGGUUGGUGGACACCAAAUUGCCUGAGAAGACAAAACAAGAGCAGCAGCAUCAGAAAGAGCAGCAGGAACAGACUAACAAGAUGCCUCAGGUUCUUCUGCUGCUGCAGUUAUGAUGACACCGGCGAAUAAGAGAAAUAUGAGAUGUCUGGUCCUCAUGGCGUCCUCAGCAACACCAUGAACUUCACCUGAAGAUCUCAGCAAAGAGGAGAAGAAUAUGAAGAUGGUGCUGGGUCCUGCACUGGAGGAAACUGCUGACAUCAGAGG